GCCAGGCGCAGUGGCGCAUGCCUGUAGUCCCAGCCACUCGGGAGGCUGAGGUGGGAGGAUCGCUUGAGCCCAGGAGUUGUGGGCUGCAGUGCGCUAUGCUGAUCCAAUGUCCAUACUAAGUUCGGCAUCAAUAUGGUGACCUUCCAGGAGCGGGGGACCACCAGGUUGCCUAAGGAGAGGAGAACCAGCCCAGGUCGGAAACGGAGUAGGUCAAAACUCCCGUGCUGAUCAGCAGUGGGAUCGCGCCUGUGAAUAGCCACUGCACUCCAGCCUGGGCCACAUAGUGAGACCCUGUCUCU
rnacentral:SRP_RNA from 1 species